CGGGGCGUAGCGCAGCCCGGUNNGGUAGCGCGCCUGCUUUGGGAGCAGGAUGUCGGGGGUUCAAAUCCCUCCGCCCCGACCA
rnacentral:tRNA from 1 species